GCAUCCCGGAUGAUGAACCGACAAGCACACUCCUCGAGGGCCUGGGUGUCUAGGAGGCUGGGCAAUGCUUCACAUCCCCUUGCAAAGAAAAUGAAUGGGGAAGAGCCUCGCUACCUGCCGUGACACAUCCAGGAGUGGUGCAAAUGUUCUCCGGGUUGUCACCGUCUUGAGCACCUGGGGAGGAAACAGAGAGCCAGCUAAAUUGGCCAAAAUAUGGGCUGCCGUGUGCACGUUUCUUCUUUGGGCCUGAAGGAUGCCCAAGCGAGAAUUGACCGAAUCGUCCGGCAUAGACUGGCCAAACGAUUCCUGAAGGACUCUGCUACGUGUGUUCGUGCUAACGUGUAGCUAGCCCC